CUGAGAACGGCUACCCAUCCAAGGAAGGCAGCAGGCACGCAAAUUACCCACUCCCGGCACGGGGAGGUAGUGACAAAAAAUAACGAUACGGGACUCUUUUGAGGCCCCGUAAUCGGAAUGAGUACACUUUAAAUCCUUUAACAAGGAUCCAUUGAAGGGCAAGUCUGGUGCCAGCAGCCGCGGUAAUUCCAGCUUCAAUAGCGUAUAUUAAAGUUGUUGCGGUUAAAAAGCUCGUAGUUGGUUCUGCGUGCUACGCUGUCGGUUCGCCGCCUGCCGGUGUAACUGGCAUGCCGUGUCAUGUCCUGUCGGUGGCGUGCGGGUCCCUUGUCUAGGCGACGGCUCUCGCCCUUAAAGCUUGAGUCCGGAGGCCGGAGGUCAAACCCGUGCGCCUGCUCUCUCCUACCUAGGUGCUCUUUACCGAGUGUCGAGGUAGGCCGACACGUUUACUUUGAACAAAUUAGAGUGCUCAAAGCAGGCUGAAAUCUCUGCCUGAAUAGUGGUGCAUGGAAUAAUAAAACAGGACCUUGGUUCUAUUUUGUUGGUUCUUAGGAACACAAGGUAAUGAUCAAUACGGACAGGCGGGGGCAUUCGUAUUGCGACGUUAGACUUGGCAAAUGCUUUCGCGGUGAAAUUCUUGGAUCGUCGCAAGACGCACAAGAGCGAAAGCAUUUGCCAAGUAUGUCUUGAUUGAUCAAGAACGAAAGUUAGAGGUUCGAAGGCGAUCAGAUACCGCCCUAGUUCUAACCAUAAACGAUGCCAGCCAGCGAUCCGCCGAUGUUCCUCCGAUGACUCGGCGGGGAGCUUCUUCCCGGGAAACCAAAGCUUUUGGGUUCCGGGGGAAGUAUGGUUGCAAAGCUGAAACUUAAAGGAAUUGACGGAAGGGCACCACCAGGAGUGGAGCCUGCGGCUUAAUUUGACUCAACACGGGAAACCUCACCAGGCCAGGACAUUGGAAGGAUUGACAGAUUGAUAGCUCUUUCUUGAUUCAGUGGGUAGUGGUGCAUGGCCGUUCUUAGUUGGUGGAUCGAUUUGUCUGGUUAAUUCCGAUAACGAACGAGACUCUAGCCUAUUAACUAGGCGUUUUCCGGUGUCCCCGCCACCGGCGACAAUCAUUCUUCUUAAGGGGACAGGCGGCUUAUAGCCGCACGAGAUUGAGCAAUAACAGGUCUGUGAUGCCCUUAGAUGUCCUGGGCCGCACGCGCGCUACACUGAAGGAAUCAGCGUGUGCCUCCCAGGCCGAAAGGCCCGGGUAAUCCGCUGAACCUCCUGCGUGCUAGGAAUUGGGGCUUGCAAUUGUUCCCCAUGAACGAGGAAUUCCCAGUAAGCGCGAGUCAUAAGCUCGCGUUGAUUACGUCCCUGCCCUUUGUACACACCGCCCGUCGCUACUACCGAUUGAAUGAUUUAGUGAGGUCUUCGGACUGGCGGCCAUCCCUAUUGACUUGUCUUUAUCGAUGAGCGCUGGGAAGAUGACCAAACUUGAUCAUUUAGAGGAAGUAAAAGUCGUAACAAGGUUUCC
rnacentral:rRNA from 1 species